AUGAUCAGCGUCACUAGGAAAGAAGGGCCAAGAGGUGGAGAGACAGGACCGCAUGCCACAGGGUGAGAGCCAGGUGCCGGCAGAUUUCUCCCAGAGCAGCUGUCACAGGAUGAUGGUCGGGAGGAGACCUGGGAACAAGGGUGUCUGCUGGCGAGGAGACAAAUGACCAAGACCCUCUCUCUGGCGGAGGAAGAGCAUCCUGGCUCUUUAAGAAGUGACACUUCUUGGGAUGGUUGGGGUGUUGAGUGCAACUCCCCUCAGCCACCCCCUGCUGGAAGUCCUGGGCUCAGGAGGGGGGACCUUCUCCUUCCCUGCCUGGCUGUUCCCCUGCAGAGGAGCUGUGGCUCAUUCAGCAACAGAGAACGCUCAGGUGGUUAACGAGCAUUCAUUUCCCAAACGAGGAGACAGUUACAUGACUAGUUGUUAUUUUAUCUUGCUAAUGAAAAUACAUAAAAAACAAAAUGGCCAAUUAGCAAGGCCAUUUGUUCCCA
rnacentral:lncRNA from 1 species